rnacentral:rRNA from 1 species
GGUUAAGCGACUAAGCGUACACGGUGGAUGCCCUGGCAGUCAGAGGCGAUGAAGGACGUGCUAAUCUGCGAAAAGCGUCGGUAAGGUGAUAUGAACCGUUACAGCCGGCGAUGUCCGAAUGGGGAAACCCAGUGCAAUUCGUUGCACUAUCGUUAACUGAAUACAUAGGUUAACGAGGCGAACCGGGGGAACUGAAACAUCUAAGUACCCCGAGGAAAAGAAAUCAACCGAGAUUCCCCCAGUAGCGGCGAGCGAACGGGGAGCAGCCCAGAGUCUGAAUCAGCUUGUGUGUUAGUGGAACGGUCUGGAAAGUCCGACGGUACAGGGUGAUAGUCCCGUACACCAAAAUGCACAGGCUGUGAACUCGAAGAGUAGGGCGGGACACGUGGUAUCCUGUCUGAAUAUGGGGGGACCAUCCUCCAAGGCUAAAUACUCCUGACUGACCGAUAGUGAACCAGUACCGUGAGGGAAAGGCGAAAAGAACCCCGGCGAGGGGAGUGAAAAAGAACCUGAAACCGUGUACGUACAAGCAGUGGGAGCACCUUCGGGUGUGACUGCGUACCUUUUGUAUAAUGGGUCAGCGACUUAUAUUCUGUAGCAAGGUUAACCGUAUAGGGGAGCCGCAGGGAAACCGAGUCUUAACUGGGCGUUAAGUUGCAGGGUAUAGACCCGAAACCCGGUGAUCUAGCCAUGGGCAGGUUGAAGGUUGGGUAACACUAACUGGAGGACCGAACCGACUAAUGUUGAAAAAUUAGCGGAUGACUUGUGGCUGGGGGUGAAAGGCCAAUCAAACCGGGAGAUAGCUGGUUCUCCCCGAAAGCUAUUUAGGUAGCGCCUCGUGAACUCAUCUUCGGGGGUAGAGCACUGUUUCGGCUAGGGGGUCAUCCCGACUUACCAACCCGAUGCAAACUACGAAUACCGAAGAAUGUUAUCACGGGAGACACACGGCGGGUGCUAACGUCCGUCGUGAAGAGGGAAACAACCCAGACCGCCAGCUAAGGUCCCAAAGUCACAGUUAAGUGGGAAACGAUGUGGGAAGGCACAGACAGCCAGGAUGUUGGCUUAGAAGCAGCCAUCAUUUAAAGAAAGCGUAAUAGCUCACUGGUCGAGUCGGCCUGCGCGGAAGAUGUAACGGGGCUAAACUGUGCACCGAAGCUGCGGCAGCGACACUAUGUGUUGUUGGGUAGGGGAGCGUUCUGUAAGCCUGCGAAGGUGGCCUGUGAGGGUUGCUGGAGGUAUCAGAAGUGCGAAUGCUGACAUAAGUAACGAUAAUGCGGGUGAAAAGCCCGCACGCCGGAAGACCAAGGGUUCCUGUCCAACGUUAAUCGGGGCAGGGUGAGUCGACCCCUAAGGCGAGGCCGAAAGGCGUAGUCGAUGGGAAACAGGUUAAUAUUCCUGUACUUGGUGUUACUGCGAAGGGGGGACGGAGAAGGCUAUGUUAGCCGGGCGACGGUUGUCCCGGUUUAAGCAUGUAGGCGGAGGUUCCAGGUAAAUCCGGUACCUUUUUAACGCUGAGGUGUGAUGACGAGGCACUACGGUGCUGAAGUAACAAAUGCCCUGCUUCCAGGAAAAGCCUCUAAGCAUCAGGUAACAUUAAAUCGUACCCCAAACCGACACAGGUGGUCAGGUAGAGAAUACCAAGGCGCUUGAGAGAACUCGGGUGAAGGAACUAGGCAAAAUGGUGCCGUAACUUCGGGAGAAGGCACGCUGAUAUGUAGGUGAAGUCCCUGCGGAUGGAGCUGAAAUCAGUCGAAGAUACCAGCUGGCUGCAACUGUUUAUUAAAAACACAGCACUGUGCAAACACGAAAGUGGACGUAUACGGUGUGACGCCUGCCCGGUGCCGGAAGGUUAAUUGAUGGGGUUAUCCGUAAGGAGAAGCUCUUGAUCGAAGCCCCGGUAAACGGCGGCCGUAACUAUAACGGUCCUAAGGUAGCGAAAUUCCUUGUCGGGUAAGUUCCGACCUGCACGAAUGGCGUAAUGAUGGCCAGGCUGUCUCCACCCGAGACUCAGUGAAAUUGAACUCGCUGUGAAGAUGCAGUGUACCCGCGGCAAGACGGAAAGACCCCGUGAACCUUUACUAUAGCUUGACACUGAACAUUGAGCCUUGAUGUGUAGGAUAGGUGGGAGGCUUUGAAGCGUGGACGCCAGUCUGCGUGGAGCCAACCUUGAAAUACCACCCUUUAAUGUUUGAUGUUCUAACGUUGGCCCCUAAUCGGGGUUGCGGACAGUGUCUGGUGGGUAGUUUGACUGGGGCGGUCUCCUCCCAAAGAGUAACGGAGGAGCACGAAGGUUAGCUAAUCCUGGUCGGACAUCAGGAGGUUAGUGCAAUGGCAUAAGCUAGCUUGACUGCGAGCGUGACGGCGCGAGCAGGUGCGAAAGCAGGUCAUAGUGAUCCGGUGGUUCUGAAUGGAAGGGCCAUCGCUCAACGGAUAAAAGGUACUCCGGGGAUAACAGGCUGAUACCGCCCAAGAGUUCAUAUCGACGGCGGUGUUUGGCACCUCGAUGUCGGCUCAUCACAUCCUGGGGCUGAAGUAGGUCCCAAGGGUAUGGCUGUUCGCCAUUUAAAGUGGUACGCGAGCUGGGUUUAGAACGUCGUGAGACAGUUCGGUCCCUAUCUGCCGUGGGCGCUGGAGAAUUGAGGGGGGCUGCUCCUAGUACGAGAGGACCGGAGUGGACGCAUCACUGGUGUUCGGGUUGUCAUGCCAAUGGCAUUGCCCGGUAGCUAAAUGCGGAAGAGAUAAGUGCUGAAAGCAUCUAAGCACGAAACUUGCCCCGAGAUGAGUUCUCCCUGAGACUAUAAGUCUCCUGAAGGAACGUUAAAGACGAUGACGUUGAUAGGUCGGGUGUGUAAGCGUAGCGAUACGUUGAGCUAACCGAUACUAAUGAACCGUGAGGCUUAACCUU